AAGCAAAAGCAAGCAAACAAGCACAACACACCAGGAAACCAAAUAGAUGCUGAUGGAGAUUUUUUAAAACUCUCAAUAUCUGUCAGUGGUCAAGUGGUGGAACCAGGAUUUGGGUCAGUCUAAUUAAUUCUAAGCAUUGAACUUCUAAAAGCUAUGCUGUGAUAUCUCUGCUGUAAUACAAUUCCUCUCCACUUAGUUCUCUGAACAGUAAAAUGAUGCAUAAUGUGUGUGAAGGUUUUUGUAUAACCUGUGAUUGGAUCCUUGUUUACAUCUAAUAGGAUAAUUGGCAUCCCCAGUUUGAAAGGGUCAAGGAAGUCUGAGAAAUUCUGAAUGUGUAAAACUGCCGAAAGAAAAACAGCGAAAACUUGAUUGAAACUCAAAUUCUUCAUAAUGCUAAGGAGGCACUUUGCAUGAGAAGUAUACCUGGAACCAACAAAAGCCACAGAUAGAGAAAUUGCU
rnacentral:lncRNA from 1 species